ACAUUCACACCCAGCUCUCAGUGAUAGAGGUUGCUGUAAGAAGAGGCCUUUGAACGGCAGUGAGACAUCACACUGGCUAAGAGUCAGCUCUUCUGAGUCGAUUGAAGGCAGCAAUAUGGUAGAAGUAAGAGGAGUUCUGAGGCCAUCGAUGAAAGGACAGAGGCUUAUGAAGGGUUACAGCACGGGAGUGGAAAAUGAACGACCAGAUACUGCGGCUACGUUCAAGGCAAAGUCAAUGAGGCCUGACAGUGGACCAACUCCUCAGUGUAAGUAACUCACAGCCUUCGACCGUAAUUUCAAUAUCUUUGGUCUAAGAAACAGGCAGAGUAACUGUCCAGCAAGACUCUUUUCUCUUGCCUACUUGUUUUGAACCCCGCCCUCACUUUCUCCCAUGCUCUUACUUGUUUGGUAUAUGAGGAGACAGCAACCUACAGACAGCGGAUUAUAAAAUACAGUUGGGACUGCACGUGUAAAUUGCUAUCAGAGAAAAGAGGAAGCCCGAGCCAAGGACAACCGCAUCUUAGAUGUUCACUACCUUUGAUAUGAAGAUCAAAAGAUAGCUUCAUAGCCCUGGGAAAGCCCGCAAAAAAAAAAAAAAAAUCCUGUCAAGAGCGUAGAACCUCAAUAUGAACACCCGGAGCCGAUUAUCCAAGAAAGCACGUGGCUUUUGUAAGCUUCAGAUCUUCUUCAAAUGGAUGCAUGUAACCGGAACCCAUCUGAGUUAUGUUUGGUAUCUGUGUUAUGGGUUCCUUAAUGUUUGUUGUGACUUAGCAUAUUUGAACAGUUUCUUUUGGGUUAAUCGAAUUUCAGGUUUAAGUACCCAUCAAUGCUGCACGCAACUUGAGCUAGCUCUUUUGAACUGUAAUAAACCCUUAUGGCACGUCA
rnacentral:lncRNA from 1 species